CCCCUAGAUGUUCUGGGCCGCACGCGCGCUACACUGAACAGUUCAACAAGUCUUAACCUUGGCCGAUAGGUCUGGGUAAUCUUUGAACGCUGUUCGUGAUUGGGAUAGACCUUUGCAAUUAUGGGUCUUCAACGAGGAAUUCCUAGUAAACGCAAGUCAUCAGCUUGCAUUGAUUACGUCCCUGCCCUUUGUACACACCGCCCGUCGCACCUACCGAUUGAAUGGUCCGGUGAAAUCUCGGGACGGCGGCUUGGUCGCUUGCGUCCGACUGCUGAAACUUGAUUAAACCAUAUCAUUUGGAGGAAGGUGAANUCGUANCA
rnacentral:rRNA from 1 species